AGAGUUUGAACCUGGCUCAGAUUGAACGCUGGCGGCAGGCUUAACACAUGCAAGUCGAGCGGAGUGAUGGUGCUUGCACUAUCACUUAGCGGCGGACGGGUGAGUAAUGCUUAGGAAUCUGCCUAUUAGUGGGGGACAACAUUUCGAAAGGAAUGCUAAUACCGCAUACGUCCUACGGGAGAAAGCAGGGGAUCUUCGGACCUUGCGCUAAUAGAUGAGCCUAAGUCGGAUUAGCUAGUUGGUGGGGUAAAGGCCUACCAAGGCGACGAUCUGUAGCGGGUCUGAGAGGAUGAUCCGCCACACUGGGACUGAGACACGGCCCAGACUCCUACGGGAGGCAGCAGUGGGGAAUAUUGGACAAUGGGCGCAAGCCUGAUCCAGCCAUGCCGCGUGUGUGAAGAAGGCCUUAUGGUUGUAAAGCACUUUAAGCGAGGAGGAGGCUACUGAAGUUAAUACCUUCAGAUAGUGGACGUUACUCGCAGAAUAAGCACCGGCUAACUCUGUGCCAGCAGCCGCGGUAAUACAGAGGGUGCAAGCGUUAAUCGGAUUUACUGGGCGUAAAGCGCGCGUAGGCGGCUAAUUAAGUCAAAUGUGAAAUCCCCGAGCUUAACUUGGGAAUUGCAUUCGAUACUGGUUAGCUAGAGUGUGGGAGAGGAUGGUAGAAUUCCAGGUGUAGCGGUGAAAUGCGUAGAGAUCUGGAGGAAUACCGAUGGCGAAGGCAGCCAUCUGGCCUAACACUGACGCUGAGGUGCGAAAGCAUGGGGAGCAAACAGGAUUAGAUACCCUGGUAGUCCAUGCCGUAAACGAUGUCUACUAGCCGUUGGGGCCUUUGAGGCUUUAGUGGCGCAGCUAACGCGAUAAGUAGACCGCCUGGGGAGUACGGUCGCAAGACUAAAACUCAAAUGAAUUGACGGGGGCCCGCACAAGCGGUGGAGCAUGUGGUUUAAUUCGAUGCAACGCGAAGAACCUUACCUGGCCUUGACAUAGUAAGAACUUUCCAGAGAUGGAUUGGUGCCUUCGGGAACUUACAUACAGGUGCUGCAUGGCUGUCGUCAGCUCGUGUCGUGAGAUGUUGGGUUAAGUCCCGCAACGAGCGCAACCCUUUUCCUUAUUUGCCAGCGAGUAAUGUCGGGAACUUUAAGGAUACUGCCAGUGACAAACUGGAGGAAGGCGGGGACGACGUCAAGUCAUCAUGGCCCUUACGGCCAGGGCUACACACGUGCUACAAUGGUCGGUACAAAGGGUUGCUACCUAGCGAUAGGAUGCUAAUCUCAAAAAGCCGAUCGUAGUCCGGAUUGGAGUCUGCAACUCGACUCCAUGAAGUCGGAAUCGCUAGUAAUCGCGGAUCAGAAUGCCGCGGUGAAUACGUUCCCGGGCCUUGUACACACCGCCCGUCACACCAUGGGAGUUUGUUGCACCAGAAGUAGGUAGUCUAACCGCAAGGAGGACGCUACCACGGUACCCGGAAG
rnacentral:rRNA from 1 species